rnacentral:rRNA from 1 species
UACGGAGGUCUCAAGCGUUGUUCGGAUUCAUUGGGCGUAAAGGGUGUGUAGGUGGCGCGCUAAGUCGGGUGUGAAAUUUCGGAGCUUAACUCCGGAACUGCAUUCGAUACUGGCGGGCUUGAGGACUGGAGAGGAGAGUGGAAUUCAUGGUGUAGCAGUGAAAUGCGUAGAGAUCAUGAGGAAGACCAGUGGCGAAGGCGGGUCUCUGGACAGUUCCUGACACUGAGACACGAAGGCCAGGGGAGCAAACGGG